rnacentral:rRNA from 1 species
AGCUUGAACAGGUGCUGCAUGGCUGUCGUCAGCUCGGUGUCCGUGAGAUGUUCGGUUAAGUCCGCUUAACGAGCGCAACCCUCGCUGUGUGUUACAAGUGUCACACGGAACUGCCGGUCAUAAACCGGAGGAAGGUGGGGAUGACGUCAAGUCAGCAUGGCCUUUAUAUCCUGGGCUACACACACGCUACAAUGGGAAGGGACAAUAGGUUGCGAAGCCGCGAGGCGGAGCCAAUCCAGCAAAACUCCUCAGUUCAGAUUGCAGGCUGCAACUCGCCUGCAUGAAGUUGGAGUUGCUAGUAAACGCAGGUCAGCCAUACUGCGUUGAAUACGUUCCCGGGGCUU